rnacentral:rRNA from 1 species
GACGAACGCUGGCGGCGUGCUUAACACAUGCAAGUCGAACGGAAAGGCCCUGCUUUUGUGGGGUGCUCGAGUGGCGAACGGGUGAGUAACACGUGAGUAACCUGCCCUUGACUUUGGGAUAACUUCAGGAAACUGGGGCUAAUACCGGAUAGGAGCUCCUGCUGCAUGGUGGGGGUUGGAAAGUUUCGGCGGUUGGGGAUGGACUCGCGGCUUAUCAGCUUGUUGGUGGGGUAGUGGCUUACCAAGGCUUUGACGGGUAGCCGGCCUGAGAGGGUGACCGGCCACAUUGGGACUGAGAUACGGCCCAGACUCCUACGGGAGGCAGCAGUGGGGAAUAUUGCACAAUGGGCGGAAGCCUGAUGCAGCAACGCCGCGUGCGGGAUGCCGGCCUUCGGGUUGUAAACCGCUUUCGCAUGUGACGAAGCGUGAGUGACGGUACUGGGUCAAGAAGCACCGGCUAACUACGUG